CAAAGAGUGGCGAACGGGUGAGUAACACGUGGGAAACCUAUCUCUUAGCAGGGGAUAACAUUUGGAAACAGAUGCUAAUACCGUAUAACAAUAGCAACCGCAUGGUUGCUACUUAAAAGAUGGUUCUGCUAUCACUAAGAGAUGGUCCCGCGGUGCAUUAGUUAGUUGGUGAGGUAAUGGCUCACCAAGACGAUGAUGCAUAGCCGAGUUGAGAGACUGAUCGGCCACAUUGGGACUGAGACACGGCCCAUACUCC
rnacentral:rRNA from 1 species